rnacentral:rRNA from 1 species
UACAGAGGUGGCAAGCGUUGUUCGGAAUUACUGGGCGUAAAGCGCGGGCAGGCGGUCGGGCAAGUGGGGUGUGAAAUCUCCCAGCUUAACUGGGGAGAGGCCAUUCCAAACUGCUUGACUGGAGGGCAGUAGAGGUAGGCGGAAUUCCGGGUGGAGUGGUGAAAUGCGUAGAGAUCCGGAGGAACACCAGAGGCGAAGGCGGCCUACUGGGCUGCACCUGGACGCUGAGCCGCGAAAGCUAGGGGAGCGAACGGG